CUUAUUCAUGCUUUCAUGAAAUGCAACACAUCACAGCUAAUCACAUAAAGGAUGGUAUUGUCACCAUUAGUCCUCAACAUCUCCAAAUGCCAGGGGCGUAGAAUGGGCCUCACUGGUCUUUCUCUUACAUAACAUAACAUAACAUUCUAAAGUGCCAGGGGCGUAGAAUGGGCCUCGCUGGUCUUCCAUAACGUAUCAUCAUAACAUAACAUCAGAGGACUAUGGAUCACCCAACAACCAUCCACAUCAACAUCAAAUUAUGCAAUGCAGCAUAUUCGUGAAUUCUAAUGCAAACAUCCU
rnacentral:lncRNA from 1 species